rnacentral:rRNA from 1 species
GAUGAACGCUGGCGGCGUGCCUAAUACAUGCAAGUCGAGCGGUAAGGCCUCUUCGGAGGUACACGAGCGGCGGACGGCUGAGUAACGCGUAGGAACAUACCCCAAAGUGAGGGAUAACUGCUCGAAAGAGUAGCUAAUGCCGCAUGUGAUCUAAGGAUUAAAGCUUCGGCGCUUUGGGAAUGGCCUGCGUAUGAUUAGUUUGUUGGUGAGGUAAUGGCUCACCAAGACUACGAUCAUUAGCUGGUCUGAGAGGAUGAUCAGCCAGACUGGGACUGAGACACGGCCCAGACUCCUACGGGAGGCAGCAGUAGGGAAUCUUCCACAAUGGGCGAAAACCUGAUGGAGCAACGCCGCGUGCAGGAUGAAGGCCUUCGGGUUGUAAACUGCUUUUAUAUGCGAAGAUUAUGACGGUAGCAUAUGAAUAAGGAUCGGCUAACUCCGUGCCAGCAGCCGCAGUAA